UAUGUUGAAAACAAAACUCCUCCCGAGCUUAUUUCUGCAGGGUGUUCAGAGGACAGUACAAUAUAAGCUUAGUAUCUGGCAUGGUUGGUUGUCUGGGUUUUGUGUGUGUUAAACCUGGUCUUUUUAUGGACACGGUA